rnacentral:rRNA from 1 species
UGGCGGCGUGCCUAAUACAUGCAAGUCGAACGGUCUUUCUAUGGAAGCUUGCUUCCACUGAGAAGAUAGUGGCGAACGGGUGAGUAACACGUGGGUAACCUGCCCAUAAGAGGGGGAGUAACAUCCGGAAACGGGUGCUAAUACCGCAUAGUUUUCUUGAUCGCAUGAUUGAGAAAGGAAAGACGGCCUUUGUGCUGUCGCUUAUGGAUGGACCCGCGGCGUAUUAGUUAGUUGGUGAGGUAACGGCUCACCAAGACGAUGAUACGUAGCCGACCUGAGAGGGUGAUCGGCCACAUUGGGACUGAGACACGGCCCAAACUCCUACGGGAGGCAGCAGUAGGGAAUCUUCCGCAAUGGACGAAAGUCUGACGGAGCAACGCCGCGUGAGUGAAGAAGGUUUUCGGAAUCGUAAAACUCUGUUGUCAGAGAAGAACAAGUUGGAGAGUAACUGCUCCAGCCUUGACGGUAUCUGACCAGAAAGCCACGGCUAACUACGUGCCAGCAGCAGC